rnacentral:rRNA from 1 species
GGGUGCGUAGGCGGCCUAUUAAGUCAGGGGUGAAAUACGGUGGCUCAACCAUCGCAGUGCCUUUGAUACUGAUGGGCUUGAAUCCAUUUGAAGUGGGCGGAAUAAGACAAGUAGCGGUGAAAUGCAUAGAUAUGUCUUAGAACUCCGAUUGCGAAGGCAGCUCACUAAGCUGGUAUUGACGCUGAGGCACGAAAGCGUGGGGAUCGAACAGGAUUAGAUACCCUGGUAGUCCACGCCCUAAACGAUGAUAACUCGAUGUUGGCGAUAGACAGCCAGCGUCUUAGCGAAAGCGUUAAGUUAUCCACCUGGGGAGUACGCCCGCAAGGGUGAAACUCAAAGGAAUUGACGGGGGCCCGCACAAGCGGAGGAGCAUGUGGUUUAAUUCGAUGAUACGCGAGGAACCUUACCCGGGCUUGAAAGUUAGUGAAGAGACCAGAGACGGUCUCGUCCUUCGGGACACGAAACUAGGUGCUGCAUGGCUGUCGUCAGCUCGUGCCGUGAGGUGUUGGGUUAAGUCCCGCAACGAGCGCAACCCCUAUGUUUAGUUGCCAGCAUGUAAUGGUGGGGACUCUAAACAGACUGCCUGUGCAAACAGUGAGGAAGGUGGGGACGACGUCAAGUCAUCAUGGCCCUUACGUCCGGGGCUACACACGUGCUACAAUGGAUGGUACAGCGGGCAGCUACAUAGCAAUAUGAUGCUAAUCUCUAAAAGCCAUUCACAGUUCGGAUUGGGGUCUGCAACUCGACCCCAUGAAGUUGGAUUCGCUAGUAAUCGCGUAUCAGCAAUGACGCGGUGAAUACGUUCCCGGGCCUUGUACACACCGCCCGUCAAGCCAUGAAAGUUGGGGGUACCUAAAGCAUGUGACCGC